CCUACGGGAGGCAGCAGUGAGGAAUAUUGGUCAAUGGACGGAAGUCUGAACCAGCCAUGCCGCGUGCAGGAAGACGGCUCUAUGAGUUGUAAACUUCUUUUGUCAAGGGACAAAAUCAGGCUCGAGAGCCUGACCGAGGGUACUUGAAGAAAAAGCAUCGGCUAACUCCGUGCCAGCAGCCGCGGUAAUACGGAGGAUGCGAGCGUUAUCCGGAUUUAUUGGGUUUAAAGGGUGCGUAGGCGGACUGUUAAGUCAGCGGUAAAAGCCCGGGGCUCAACCCCGGCGAGCCGUUGAAACUGGCUGUCUUGAGAUGUCGAGAGGUAUGCGGAAUGCGCAGUGUAGCGGUGAAAUGCUUAGAUAUUGCGCAGAACUCCGAUUGCGAAGGCAGCAUACCGGCGGCGAUCUGACGCUGAGGCACGAAAGCGUGGGUAUCGAACAGGAUUAGAUACCCGGGUAGUC
rnacentral:rRNA from 1 species